rnacentral:lncRNA from 1 species
AUGUGUAAUGAGUUUAUAAUUUUUUAAGAAAUUAAUCAUUUAAAAUGUAUCAUAUUUUAUUCAGCAUUGAUAGACACGGUCUAUAUAACCGAGUACCUUUUAGGUCUUGCUAAAUUUCAGGAGUAAAAAGGGACCCUGUGACCACAAGUUUGGAGAAGUAUUGAGGUGCUCGGGGGUGCGUUGGCCCUGUGGGCACUGUGCCUCCUUCUGUGUGGAGGAGAGGAGUCCAGCCUCUUCCCCAGAGGUGCCUCUGCCAGGCAGGGAGGGGACAAGGUGGGGGAGGUAGCCAGGCCCCUCCCUCCCCACAGACUGCCCUUGACACCAUGAGCCCAGGGGACUGCUGGUCAUCACAAAGGGCAGCCAGCCUCCCCACUGGGUCUCUGGACCUGCGUGUAUCCCGGAGAGGCGUGAAGCCUGGGUCUGGGUGGAGGAAGUGAGACUCAACCUGAGCCUGCCACCUCCCCUCCCCGUGACCCAGAGCAACCCACUCAGGCUUUCGCUGGAGCGAGCCCCGGAUUGAGAGCCCCCAUGCACCAGGGGUUCAGCCCAGGCUCUGGGCGAGUGAGGCAGACCCUGUGGAAGCCAGGGUCUGGGAGGGGAGGGUAGAGGGGCAACUGUGCCGAGCGUGAGGAUGUAGAGAGGGCAGUGGGCCUCUGAGCACCCACAGCAGGGGGGCCACUGUUGGGGGAGGGGCAGGAGCAAGGGAGGGACUCCUGGGGCUCCCAGCCCCUCUCCAGGCACCCCUCCAACCUCUGAGGAGCAGAGCGGGGCCAAGGACUGGGAGUGGAAAGCGUCUGUCCAGCCCGGGGAAUUGGAAUCUGCAGGACACUGCACCUCUGGACGCUUUGGAAGGGAGGGCUGGUCCCAGCAGGGCCGUGUGCCCAGGGGAGGGGGAGGCUCCCUUCUGCUGCUGAUGGUGACAGCGAUAGUCUCCCCCGGAUAUUGACUACGCAGCUUUCGGGGAUUUUAAUACCACGGCUCCAGGGGACACUGUGAUGUCUGCCGUCACAAAGCAGAGGUGGGUGUGGGAGGAAGCUCCACAGAGAGUCAUCCGCUCUUCCUUACAGCAGCUCACUCACUCCUCACUGACUCAUCCAUUCCAGCCCUCUUUAGCCGCACGCCCCUUCAUUCAUUCAGCCAGUCACUCAUCUGCACACCUGCCGGUCCACCAACAUCUACUGCGUGUCAGGCCAAGUUUCCAGGGAGACAGUGAUUUGUCCUUGUUGUCUGCUUGUAAGGAGAUGGAAAGUCCAGUAAAGAAUGGCGAUGGUGGUGAUGGUGGUGAUGGUGGUGGUGAUGAUGGUGGUGAUGGUGGUGAUGAUGGAGGUGAUGAUGGUGAUGGUGAUGGUGGUGAUGGUGAUGGUGGUGAUGGUGGUGAUGAUGGAGGUGAUGAUGGUGAUGGUGAUGGUGGUGAUGGUGAUGGAUAAGGAUGGUGGUGAUGGAGGUGAUGGUGGUGGUGAUGAUGGUCAUGAUGAUGGUGGUGGUGAUGGUGGUGAUGGAGGUGAUGGUGGUGAUGAUGGUGAUGAUGGUGGUGAUGAUGGUGGUGAUGGUGGUGAUGGUGGUGAUGGAGGUGAUGGUGAUGAUGAUGGAGGUGAUGGUGGUGGUGAUGAUGGUGAUGGUGAUGGAUGAGGAUGGUGAUGAUGGAGGUGAUGGUGGUGAUAAGGAUGGUGGUGAUAAUAGUGGUGGUGAUGGUGAUGACAGUGGUGAUGCUGACAGCAAUAGUAACUAACAUUUUUUGAGCACACAGUAUCUUCCAGGUAGUAUUCUAAGCCCUCUACAUACAUUAGCUCACUUAAUUCUCAAAAUAGGUCUAUGAGGGGGGUACUAUUGAAGCCCCAUUUUAUAGUUGAGGAGACAGAGGACCGACAGGUUGAAUGAUAUGCUGCAGUUGCAGACACCGAGUGGCUGUGACAAGGUGACCCCUCCGACUCUGUGCUGUUGGAGGAACACCUGGCUUCACACAGGUUACAAGCUGGGGCAGCAGGGAUCUCAGUGGAGGUGUGAGCAACCUGUCUGGCUUUUACGGAUGUGUGAGGUCAGGUCUGCCUGGGGCUAUCAAGGAAGGCCUCACAGAGGAGGUAGCAUUUAGGUGGGUCUUGAAGAUAGAGUAAGAACUUGGCAAGAAGGCAGCAGAAGAUAAUGCACGGGGAGUGAAACAGAUGUUGAGGGAGCAGCUAGUGGUUUGCAGGGAGGAGAGUCCAGAGAAAGUGGGGAGACUUGAAAUUCGGGGCAUUGCCAUCAUGGAACUGUGAGCAUCCUGCUGGGGGUCUUGGGAGCAGGCAGCAGGGAAUGGGCUGGCGCGGGUGGGGAUGGCAGCAAGAGACAGUCAGCAUUUCCAGGCCCAGCGCAGCAGCUGGGCAAACCCUCACUAGAUCUGGGCACUGACACGCAUGGUUGGUGGGCGAGGGCUCCCGCAGAGGCCCCUGGCGGCAUGUGCAGGAGGCUCUGUUGUCCAAUUAUGCAUUAGGGAGCCCGGGGGAGCUGCCUGGAGAGUGGCCAGAUGUGGGCCUAGCUUCACAGUUGAGACAAGGAAGAUCCCAGCAAGAGGCCUUGUUGUGGCCGGUGGCCAGUUGGGCUCAGAGUGGGCAGAGUCAUGGCCAAGGUGAAGUGGGGGUCAGUCAGAAGCUGCAGAGGCUACGUAUGGCUGGGGUCAAAGUGCAGACCCUCUAGGGAUGGUACGGAGAGAGGCAGGGGGGAGGAAGGUCACCAUCAGACACUGGACCUCGAGUGGACGUGGCGCCCCAGGCGGGAGCCGUGGCCCCAGUGGACCAAACGCAGUGCCCAUUCAGGACAGCUCUGGUGUGAGUAGAAAAUGCUGGGUCCUGGCACCCCUGGCCCAUCUGUAAUACUCACUGGCCUUGGCCUUCUCAUCACCUGGACCCACAUUUGGGCCACCUGGGUGCGGGGGAGGGUCAGGGCCAUUGGUCACUGUGCAUCUCCUUUCUUUAAAGGGGCCGAUGCUGCCUCCGUUUGCCAGGAUGCUGACACACUUGCUUCCUCCUGACCUCGUGUGGUCCCUCAUCCUCCUCAGCCCUCAGUCUGCCCAUCUGUUAAAUGAGAGGUUUACUCUGGUCUGGAUUCUCUUAGAGACAGAGGAGGAGGGGCAGACGAGCCAAACCUUGACCUCAGACCCACAGGUAGCCUGGAAGGCUCACUGGGUCUGGAAGGCAGGAGCCCUCCAUCCACUCCAGGCUGGGGGAGGCGAGCUGAGAAGGUGCAUUAAAAAAUGAUCUGUGGCUCCCCAAACAGAAGGGAAUAUUGACACAGUUAUUUUUAGCAUUAUUAAAAUAAGUCUGUUUUGCUCUUUUUCUGCGCUCCGCUCCCCGCUCAAUCUUGGCUUCCAGAUUGAAUGUGUGUGCACGUGUGUCCAGGCCGAGGCUCCAGGGGAGCCACCACUGCAAUCAAAAUGUUAAUGAGACCCUGAUUGUGUCUCUCGCCACCUCCUCCAUCCCUCUGCCUUCCCCAAAUGUCACUGGGACUUUGUGGAGCCCUGGGGAGGGGCCCCCGCAUUCGUUGAAAAUGAGACCUCAGCUUAAUGCUCCAUGGAAGCAGCCCCGGGAGGCCUGGGAACUUGGGGUGCAGAAAGCUGGGCUUUGCUGACACCCCGGCUUCCUCCUCUCCUGCUGCUGCUCCUCCAGGUCGGAGUCAGGCUGGUCGCUUUGGGGGCAGAACUGUGAAACCACUGGCCAUGGUGCUGGUCCCUCCUCGCCAGGGACAAGGCUCUGCAUCGCUGACUGGGGUGGUUGAGCCUCCAGCUCAGACGAAAGCCUUGGACCCCGUGGGGAGGUCUGUUUGGUUACUGGGAGAGGACCGCGGCCUCGGGGAGAUGCUGGGUCCAGCAGGCUCUGUGACCUUGAGCUGUGUGAUCUAGGACAAGUUACAUGGCCUCUCUGAGCUUCCUUUUCUUCCUCUGUAAAAUUGGAAUGAUAGACUCCCACCCUCCUCCCCACCCCACGCCCAGGAGCUUCAAGCUCAAGUCCCUGGCUCUCUGAACGAGACAAAUACCCAGGUUUCUCCCAGCCUCUUCACAGCUUAAGGCUCUGAAUUUUCUACACAACUGGCCAUCAGGCUCGCAUGCGUGGCGUCCAGGACCCUCUGCACUUUCCCUCCUGCCUUACCUUUCUGCAGUUCCCACCGUCGUCCUGUCUGUCCGGCCCCAUGGAGACUCACCCCUGACCCCUCCUCCCGUCCACACUCACCCAUCGCCCCUGUUCUGCCUCUGGGUCUGUGCCCCCAGCCCUGCCCAGAUGCAGCAGAGCCUAACCUCCCAUUCUUUCGGUUAACACGGCUCAUCAGCUGCUAUAGCGCCUGGGACGGUGCUGGGGCUUUGCUGUGGUGCGUAAAAGUGGACCCGUGUCCAGCCAUCAUGUGGCUCCUGGGGAAAGUCUUUCUUGGGGACAGACACAGGCAUCCAAACCCACACAGACUCCUGUGAAAUUGCCCCCAGGGCACGUGUGGUCAAGGAGAGACGUGUGGUCCUGGAACACAGACGGGGGGCUGGCAGGCUCGGGGAGGCAGCCUGAGCUGAGAUGUGAAGGGUGAGAGCAGAGAGAACCCCGGGGCUGCGUGUGACCUCGCAGGCUGCGCAGGUGUGGAGAAUGAGCUGGGGGGGACUCGGGGGGCUGUGGGGAGACCAGGCAGGAGGCGUGAAUCAGCUUGCAAGAGGCCGUGGUGCCUGAACACUGGGGUUGAUGGGGGAGGCAGAGGGUGUGGGUGGGGGAAGGGGCGCACCCUGAGAAGCACAGGUGUAGGAGGGAUGAGUGGGGUGCGUGGCAUGAGGGCCCAGAACGAGGCCAGGCGUCGUCCCUGCCAUCUGCGCUGCCUGGGCUAGAACGGGAGUGGCGGGUGAGAGGUCUGGUGCCGCGGGGCGAGCCCGGGAUGCACUGGGGGUUUGUGGGGCCAAAGAGUGCUGGCCGCACCUGUGCUCUGCCUGCCGCCCACCCCACUGGGCUGCCCCCUCAUGUGGCAUAUGCCACCUUCUGACAUGAUAGCUCUUUAUGGAAUUGUUGGCUUGUUGCCUCUUGCUAGACCUCAAACUGUGACUUCUGCAGGGACAAGGACGGCCUCUGCCGUGGCCACGCUGGGCCCAAGCACCUGGCCACCACUCACGAAACCUGUGUGUCAAAUGAAUGAACGAACAGAUGCAGGGGUGGGCUGGGCCUGCCUUUCUGGAGUAGCCCCUGCUCGUGGUCAGCGCCUCGGGGAGCUUGUCCCCACCUGCUGUGCGGCCCCCGGGGAGGCAGGGCUGGGGUCUCCGGCCUGGAAGUUGCGGGGAGACCUGGCUUCCUCUGCUUGCCUUCCCCUCUCCUCUCUUCAGGGUCGUGAAGAAACUCUGCACCUAGUGGGCCGGGAGCUGGCGGGGGCGGGGAAGGGGGGGCCCCACUCAGCCUCAGCCGUCCCUACCGGUGGACCGUGGUCUCCAAGGGGACAGAAGGUCUGAACGGCUUGUCCCGGGAGCCUGAGGCCUGGGGAGGGUUUAGGGUGAGAGCAGACACCUUCCUACCAAGCCUGAGGCUCUUCCCGGCCAGGUGUCUGGCCCCCAACCCCUCUAGGGAACACUGUGGUGGGGACGCUGUGGCAGAGAGUCUGGGUGGGGCACGAGCUUGUGUACCUGGCGGACACCUGCCAAGCUCCUGCCCUGCACCUCACCAGUGACAGCAAGUGGGGGAAAGCUCCCCCACACCCCAGGAAGGGCCCUGGGGGGCUUCAAAGAGGUGCCGGAGCUGGGGGAGGGGGUUCUUCCGUCCACGGUAGGGAACAUGGGCUCCAGCUCCCACCCCGAGCCUCUGAGCUGUGUGCUGGGCUGGUCGCCUGUCCCUUGCGCCUCAGCAUUCCCGUCUAUGAUUUGGGGUGACCUGGGUACUGAGCGCUCCUCAUUAGUCUGGAUUUGGCUUGUUCCAGAGAUGGGGGCUGCAGAGGGAGGGAGAGUGGGGUGGGAGCUCCUGCUUCUGUCCUCCGGGCCCUGCUUGGCGGGUCUUUACAUCCGAAGCCCCUCACCGCCCUCAUUUCAUGGCAAAGGAUGCAGGGCUGUGUGUGAUGAUGUGACUUAGUCACAGGGGGGGACAGAGUUGUGAGGCCAGAUACAAGUGUGUUCAGGCAGAAUCCAAGGCCAGGCGGGGCCAGCACACCUUGCUUAAGGCCCCGAGGAGCAGGGGCUGAGGGUGGCCACCCCCGCAUGUGCUGACGUUUCUGUGUGGGAGUGGAGGACCCGGCCUGGGCCCCGCCCGGCUGCCCUCUGCUCCGUGGGAUGUGUUGUUGCGGGCUCUCGGUGGCCUCCCGCUCGUUCCCGCCACACUGAGCGUGCCCUCCCCCUGGACAGGGCAGGGGCCGACGUCACAGGGCCUCCGCCUGGAGUCCCCACGGUGCUGGGCUGCAGGGACCUGACUGGCCGUCAUUCUUGUACCAUUUGGCUCGGGGUUUGUGAACCAGGGAAGGGUCAGCCCUGAUACCUCCCUGCCCGUGAUCUUGGGCAGAAAAGUCAGUUCCGAGGUCCUGGGUCACCAGGUGCUCAGGCCCGAGACUCCAUCAGCACAGCCC